rnacentral:rRNA from 1 species
GACAGAGGUGCCAAGCGUUAAUCGGAAUUACUGGGCGCAAAGCGUGCGCAGGCGGUUAUAUAAGACAGAUGUGAAAUCCCCGGGCUCAACCUGGGACCUGCAUUUGUGACUGUAUAGCUAGAGUACGGUAGAGGGGGAUGGAAUUCCGCGUGUAGCAGUGAAAUGCGUAGAUAUGCGGAGGAACACCGAUGGCGAAGGCAAUCCCCUGGACCUGUACUGACGCUCAUGCACGAAAGCGUGGGGAGCAAACAGG